AUUGAACGCUGGCGGCAGGCCUAACACAUGCAAGUCGAACGAGUGGCGGACGGGUGAGUAAUGUCUGGGAAACUGCCUGAUGGAGGGGGAUAACUACUGGAAACGGUAGCUAAUACCGCAUACAAUCAGAUGUGCCCAGAUGGGAGUAGCUAGUAGGUGGGGUAAAGGCUCACCUGGGCGACGAUCCCUAGCUGGUAUGAGAGGAUGACCAGCCAGACUGGAACGUAGACACGGUCCAGACUCGUACGGUAGUCAGCAGUGGGGAAUAUUGCACAAUGGGCGCAAGCCUGAUGCAGCCAUGCCGCGUGGAUGAAGAAGGCCUUCGGGUUGUAAAGUACUUUCAGCGGGGAGGCGUUACCCGCAGAAGAAGCACCGGCUAACUCCGGGCCAGCAGCCGCGGUAAUUC
rnacentral:rRNA from 1 species